GACGAACGCUGGCGGCGUGCUUAACACAUGCAAGUCGAACGGAAAGGCCCUGCUUUUGUGGGGUGCUCGUGUGGCGAACGGGUGAGUAACACGUGAGUAACCUGCCCUUGACUUUGGGAUAACUUCAGGAAACUGGGGCUAAUACCGGAUAGGAGCUCCUGCUGCAUGGUGGGGGUUGGAAAGUUUCGGCGGUUGGGGAUGGACUCGCGGCUUAUCAGCUUGUUGGUGUGGUAGUGGCUUACCAAGGCUUUGACGGGUAGCCGGCCUGAGAGGGUGACCGGCCACAUUGGGACUGAGAUACGGCCCAGACUCCUACGGGAGGCAGCAGUGGGGAAUAUUGCACAAUGGGCGGAAGCCUGAUGCAGCAACGCCGCGUGCGUGAUGACGGCCUUCGGGUUGUAAACCGCUUUCGCAUGUGACGAAGCGUGAGUGACGGUAAUGGGUAAAGAAGCACCGGCUAACUACGUG
rnacentral:rRNA from 1 species